rnacentral:rRNA from 1 species
CCGUAGGUGAACCUGCGGAGGGAUCAUUACAGAGUUGCAAAACUCCCUAAACCAUUGUGAACGUUACCUUCAAACCGUUGCUUCGGCGGGCGGCCCGGGUCCGCCCGGUGCCCCCUGGCCCCCUAGCGGGGCGCCCGCCGGAGGAAAACCCAACUCUUGAUUAUUAUGGCCUCUCUGAGUCUUCUGUACUGAAUAAGUCAAAACUUUCAACAACGGAUCUCUUGGUUCUGGCAUCGAUGAAGAACGCAGCGAAAUGCGAUAAGUAAUGUGAAUUGCAGAAUUCAGUGAAUCAUCGAAUCUUUGAACGCACAUUGCGCCCGCCAGUAUUCUGGCGGGCAUGCCUGUUCGAGCGUCAUUUCAACCAUCAAGCCCCGCGCUUGUGUUGGGGACCUGCGGCUGCCGCAGGCCCUGAAAACCAGUGGCGGGCUCGCUGUCACACCGGGCGUAGUAGAUUUUAUCUCGCUCAGGGCGUGCUGCGGGUUCCGGCCGUUAAAAAGCCUUUUUUACCCAAGGUUGACCUCGGAUCAGGUAGGAAUACCCGCUGAACUUAAGCAUAUCAAUAAGCGGAGGAA